GAAAACAUUCCAGCAGUAUUGGUUGCUGUUGGAGCUGCAUUCGCUGCAGUAGUAUUCUUACAAACUCCAAAAUGUACCCCCACCUGGCAUGCAGUGACCGUCGGGCAACCACAUAGUGUCCGACCGUUCAUUUGAUCUAAAACAUCAAAAACUCCUCCCCCAUCACUUCUCAUGUAAAAGUUUACUGCCACAUAAUUGGGCAUCAUGUUGCCUGCUGCUUUGUAACAGGCACCAAUCGUAUCAACAAAUUGAGUUGAAUGCUCUUUGCAGGCUCCAUCUUGUA
rnacentral:misc_RNA from 1 species